GGAAAAGGGAAUGUUCAACAGUGGAGCAACAGGCUUCUUGCCAUGCUAAUGAUGAUCCAGUGACACCAGAGGAAGCAGUGGAAGAAGCUGAGGCUAUGGUCCCUGAAGCAGCAUACAACAGUCUCAGUGAGAAGUAUGAUCAACUCAACACUGAAUAUGUCAACUUAAGAAAAGACUUUUACCAACUUAAAGAGGAGAAUGAAAGACUGAAAGAGGAGCUUCAGAAAUCACGCUUCUCAUUCUCCACGAUCAAAAACAAUGCUGCACACUUUCUGUUUCUCACUGGGUUAACUUCAGUCAUCUUCAGUUGGUUAAUGUCAAAAAUUAAAGACAGUGUGCAGAAGCGAACUGAAAGUCUCAUGCUAGAA